rnacentral:rRNA from 1 species
UACGUAGGGGGCUAGCGUUGUCCGGAUUUAUUGGGCGUAAAGCGUGCGUAGGCGGCUGUUUAAGUCUGGUGUUAAAGCUAGGGGCUCAACCCCCGUGAUGCACUGGAAACUGGGCAGCUUGAGUGCGGUAGGGGAAGGUGGAAUUCCGAGUGUAGCGGUGAAAUGCGUAGAUAUUCGGAAGAACACCGGUGGCGAAGGCGACCUUCUGGGCCGCAACUGACGCUGAGGCACGAAAGCCUGGGGAGCGAACGGG